AAUGGAAUGCCUGAAUAAAGGAUUAUCGUGAUAGGAUAAAUAAUGUAAAAAAAAUUACUUCCAUUA
rnacentral:tRNA from 1 species